GCGGGAGGUAAGGCAUGGCCAGGCCGGCUGGGCUGCAGAGCGCCGGCACGGGUCCACGCCUCGGGUGACGGGCUUCCAGGAUGUUCGGGCGCGGGGCGGCCCAUCCGCAUCCCCCAACACCCCCACCUCCGGCCUGAGCCUCCCAGCGCCGUGGGAACCACCUCCUGUCCGCUGUUGCUGGCCCGCAUCCUAGCAGCGGCCUGACGCCCUCCCCACCCUGGCAUGCCCCCUUGACCUGGGACGAUGAGCAUACGACUGGGGAGCCCAGUGGAGGCGCCCUCCCGAAGCGCCACUGCCCAUGCUGACCACCCAGCCCUCCGGCUGCUGAUGUCAUGAGUAACACCACUGUGCCCAAUGCCCCCCAGGCCAACAGCGACUCCAUGGUGGGCUAUGUGUUGGGGCCCUUCUUCCUCAUCACCCUGGUCGGGGUGGUGGUGGCUGUGGUAAUGUAUGUACAGAAGAAAAAGCGGUGAGUGUCCCUGUCCCCCACCCGCCCUAACCCCACACCCGUUCUGAAAUUCCUGCUCAUAGGCUCUGACUUUUCUGUAAGAUGUCCCUCAGCCAUCCUGAUACAAGCCUGAAAUUUGUUUUCCCUGCCCCAGCCUCAGGUUACUCACUGGGGAAAGCCCCUUUGUAGAAUCAGGGUUGUAUUCUUGGAGGUAUAGUGUGUCCCAAAAGGCACCCACUGGAAUUGCCCCUGCCUGGGAAAGGGAGGAGACGAGGCAGCCAGGUGUUUGAUGAGGGUUGGGGGGACCUCCUAGCUGAGUCCCCUCCCCUGCUCCCCAGGGUGGACCGGCUGCGCCAUCACCUGCUCCCCAUGUACAGCUAUGACCCAGCUGAGGAACUGCAUGAGGCUGAGCAGGAGCUGCUCUCUGACAUGGGAGACCCCAAGGUGAGCACUUGGGGGCCAGGGGGAGAAUGAGGCAAGGUGGGAGUCAGCCCUGUUCCCAGCCAUACUCGUCCACACUGAAACCAGAGCCUGGUUCUGCUUACUUGGGCUGUAACUGGGUGCUGCAGACUCCCAGGGAACACAGCCCAGCCUUGUGGUGUGGUCUCCUCCCCGACAGGUGGUACAUGGCUGGCAGAGUGGCUACCAGCACAAGCGGAUGCCACUGCUGGAUGUCAAGACGUGACCUGACCCCCUUGCCCCACCCUUCAGAGCCUGGGGUCCUGGACUGCCUGGGGCCCUGCCAUCUGCUUCCCCUGCUGUCACCUGGCUCCCCCUGCUGGGUGCUGGGUCUCCAUUUCUCCCUCCACCCACCCUCAGCAGCAUCUGCUUCCCAUGCCCUCACCAUCACCUCACUGCCCCCAGGCCUUCUGCCCUUUGUGGGUGUUGAGCUCACCGCCCACCCACAGGCACUCAUGGGAAGAGGCUUUCCUUCUGGGAUGGGGGCGGCUGGUAGACACCUUUGCUUUCUCUAGCCCUCCUGGGCUGGGCUUGGGCACAAAUCCCCAGGCAGGCUUUGGAGUUGUUUCCAUGGUGAUGG
rnacentral:lncRNA from 1 species